UACGGAGGGUGCAAGCGUUACUCGGAAUCACUGGGCGUAAAGGAUGCGUAGGCUGGAAAUCAAGUCGAGAGUGAAAUCCAACGGCUCAACCGUUGAACUGCUCUCGAAACUGGUUACCGAGAAUAUGGGAGAGGUAGAUGGAAGUAGUGGUGGAGGGGUAACAUCCGUAGCUCUCACUAGGAAUACCGAGUGCGAAGGCGAUCUAAUGUAACAUUAUUGACGCUGAGGCAUGAAAUCGUGGGGAGCCAACAGGAUUAGAUACCCCCGUAGUCC
rnacentral:rRNA from 1 species